rnacentral:rRNA from 1 species
AGCUACGGCCACACCGCCUGGUUCACGCCCGAUCUCGUUUGAUCUCGGAAGCUAAGGUAGGUUGGGCCUGGUUAGUACUUGGAUGGGAGACCGCCCUGGGAAUACCAGGUGCUGUAAGUA